rnacentral:lncRNA from 1 species
CAUGAAAAAUAAAAAAAAUAUCUAAAAGCAGAAAGGCAAGAAAAGACAAAGCUAAUUGCAGAUAAAAUCAACUCCCUUAACCAAAGUCAAUGAAAGCUCUAUUUUGAUUGGAAGAAUCAUCUAAUCAACCCCCAAUCAAAAUUAAUAUGGUCAAUAUGACAUCUUAGUAUAAAUUUUAGUAAUACUCAUAAUAAACACAUGUGACAUAAUUUGACAAAUGACAGUUUUUUAAUUAUAGAAACCUAUGUGACAUGAUUUGACAAAUCGCAGCUUUUCAAUAAUAUAAACAUCUGACAUGAUUUGACAAAUUACAGCUUUUCAUAAAUUGAUUUUACAAAAAUUCAUUUUAGAAAAAGAAACUGGUUAGUCAAUGAAGAUUGAUAAAGGGUUGAUAUCUGUGUGUAAUGGAUAAUAAUAUGAUAUGACAGGAAUAGCAUUUAAUUCAUCAAUUUGAUCACAACCAAAACUUUCAGCAGUUCAUUAUAAAACUUGUGAAACUUAUAAGUAACUCAUUUCAUUGCUUGUGCUUUCAAAAUUUUACGACUUAUCUAAUCUUUCAUACAGUAUUACCAGUAUGAAAUAUGUUUAAUAAAACAUAUAUAUU